rnacentral:rRNA from 1 species
GAUGAACGCUGGCGGCGUGCCUAAUACAUGCAAGUCGAGCGGACAGAUGAGGAGCUUGCUCCUCUGACGUUAGCGGCGGACGGGUGAGUAACACGUGGAUAACCUACCUAUAAGACUGGGAUAACUUCGGGAAACCGGAGCUAAUACCGGAUAAUAUAUUGAACCGCAUGGUUCAAUAGUGAAAGACGGUUUUGCUGUCACUUAUAGAUGGAUCCGCGCCGCAUUAGCUAGUUGGUAAGGUAACGGCUUACCAAGGCAACGAUGCGUAGCCGACCUGAGAGGGUGAUCGGCCACACUGGAACUGAGACACGGUCCAGACUCCUACGGGAGGCAGCAAUAGGGAAUCUUCCGCAAUGGGCGAAAGCCUGACGGAGCAACGCCGCGUGAGUGAUGAAGGUCUUCGGAUCGUAAAACUCUGUUAUUAGGGAAGAACAAAUGUGUAAGUAACUAUGCACGUCUUGACGGUACCUAAUCAGAAAGCCACGGCUAACUACGUG